rnacentral:rRNA from 1 species
UACGUAGGGUGCAAGCGUUAUCCGGAAUUAUUGGGCGUAAAGAGCUCGUAGGCGGUUUGUCGCGUCUGCUGUGAAAACUGGGGGCUCAAUCCCCAGCCUGCAGUGGGUACGGGCAGACUAGAGUGCGGUAGGGGAGAUUGGAAUUCCUGGUGUAGCGGUGGAAUGCGCAGAUAUCAGGAGGAACACCGAUGGCGAAGGCAGCUUGCUGGGCCUUUUCUGACGCUGAGGUACGAAAGCGUGGGGAGCGAACAGG